rnacentral:rRNA from 1 species
GACGAACGCUGGCGGCGUGCUUAACACAUGCAAGUCGAACGGAAAGGCCCUGCUUGCAGGGUACUCGAGUGGCGAACGGGUGAGUAACACGUGGGUGAUCUGCCCUGCACUUCGGGAUAAGCCAGGGAAACUGGGUCUAAUACCGGAUAGGAGCCAUUUUUAGUGUGAUGGUUGGAAAGUUUUUUCGGUGUAGGAUGAGCUCGCGGCCUAUCAGCUUGUUGGUGGGGUAAUGGCCUACCAAGGCGGCGACGGGUAGCCGGCCUGAGAGGGUGGACGGCCACAUUGGGACUGAGAUACGGCCCAGACUCCUACGGGAGGCAGCAGUGGGGAAUAUUGCACAAUGGGCGCAAGCCUGAUGCAGCGACGCCGCGUGGGGGAUGACGGCCUUCGGGUUGUAAACUCCUUUCGCUAGGGACGAAGCUUUUGUGACGGUACCUAGAUAAGAAGCACCGGCUAACUACGUG